rnacentral:pre_miRNA from 1 species
UCUUUUGGGCGGGGGUCAAGAGCAAUAACGAAAAAUGUUUGUCAUAAACCGUUUUUCAUUAUUGCUCCUGACCUCCUCUCAUUGCU